GAGGGGGAGCCGAGACCCGCUGCGGCUUCAGCGGGGUCCGUUAUCGCGGCCCGGCAGGCGCUUCCCGCCCACGGGAUCGGUCGGGUUGGGAACGGCCGCUGAGGUCAUCGCAGGUCCGACCUGCGGGCGAGUGACGCUCCCUGGCACUCCUGUCACUGCGUGCCACGUCCGGGCGUUCCUUGGGCACCUCCAGGGAUGCUCUUGGACAAGCAGAAGCAGAAGAAUUUGACCUCAGUCACUGCACAGGCUACAGAGUGGCCCAGCUGGAGCUGGGGCUUCCAGAGAUCCUCCUACUCCCUCUCUCCUCACCACACAGAACUCCCUCAGCCAGUGUCUAGAGUUCCAUUGGUGCAGAUUUCCACAAGCUGUUAACAGAAUACCACAAUCCUUAAGUGAUGUAAGUGGAAAAAAAUGUGAGCUUCUUUCAAAUAACAAUUAAAGCUCUUCCCUCUUGAUAGUGUUCCUGGCUGUUCUGUGCCUUCCAGAGUCCUCUUUGCUCUCUAGUUUUUUUUCUUAAACUGCUGCUCAAAGUAUUUUCUCCUGUAACCCUCUCUCUCCUACUCUUCCUCAGUCUGCUUUACUUUCAAUUCCUUUUUCAGGACCCUGGGAUUAAAAUUUCAUUUUUAUGCUCCAAUAGUUUCUCAACCAGAAGAGACAGGAGAUCUUUAAAACGUGGAAUAAAGAUCCAAAACAGCCACA
rnacentral:lncRNA from 1 species